rnacentral:misc_RNA from 1 species
GUGGAAGAUGAAAUAAGUGAGAGGAAAGAGAGAGGGGAUUUCGGCCAAGUGAGGAAGACAACCUUACAAUUCCUUUUUUAUUUGUUUUUAACUCUAAUUAUCUUAAAUUUUGACUUAGUCAACUUUAAUAAAAUAAAUUAUAUUUUUGACAUCAUGUAUGAUGUCAUUUAGAUGAUGUUAUAAGUCAUGUUUUAUUUCUUUUUCUUUUUCUUU